AGGGUGUAAACGCUGCAGACUUGGUGUUGGAAGCCCUGUGGGGGCAUUCAGUGCCGGAGAGAAGUUGUUAAGUCUGCUACUUGGGGAGUACGUCCGCAAGGAUGAAACUUAAAGGAAUUGGCGGGGGAGCACCGCAACGGGAGGAGCGUGCGGUUUAAUUGGAUUCAACGCCGGGAAGCUCACCGGAUAGGACAGCAGAAUGAUUGCCGGGCUGAAGACCCUGCAUGACUAGCUGAGAGGAGGUGCAUGGCGUAGACGUCU
rnacentral:rRNA from 1 species